CCCGGGCCUUUGAUUGCUGGCACAGCAAG
rnacentral:piRNA from 1 species